GGGGGUGGGGGCGGUCUUCACCACCCAGAAAUCAAACCUUUUACAUCUCCUGUAUUAGCAGAUGCUGAUUUGGCUACUUGGGGAUCUAGUUUGUGAAGUUUCUCAGGAUCUGAGGACCACAGUGUUUGGAAACCACAGGCGUGGAUAGAGGAAAAGUAUUCAGAAAAGCCAAAGAAUUGAUGUUUUUGAACAGUGGUGCUGGAAAAGACUCUGGAGAGUCUCUUGGACUGCAAGAAGAUUCUAUCAGUCCA